GACGAACGCUGGCGGCGUGCUUAACACAUGCAAGUCGAACGGAAAGGCCCUGCUUUUGUGUGGUGCUCGAGUGGCGAACGGGUGAGUAACCCGGGAGUAACCUUCCCUUGACUUUGGGAUAACUUCAGGCAACUGGUGCUAAUACCGGAUAGGAGCUCCUGCUGCAUGGUGGGGGUUGGAACGUUUCGGCGGGUGGGGAUGGACUCGGGGCUUAUCAGCUUGUUGGUGGGGUAGUGGCUUACCAAGGCAUUGACGGGUAGCCCGCCUGAGAGGGGGAACGGCCACAUUGGGACUGAGGGAGGGCGCAGACUCCAACGGGAGGCAGCAGGGGGGAAUAUUGCACAAUGGGCGGAAGCCUGAUGCAGAAACGCCGGGUGCGUGAUGACGGCCUUCGGGUUGUAAACCGCUGUAGCCUGUGACGAAGCGUGAGUGACGGUAAUGGGUAAAGAAGCACCGGCUAACUACGUG
rnacentral:rRNA from 1 species